CCUGAGAAACCCGAAAGAUCGAAUGGGGAGAUUCAUCGUCAGCGAUUUUGGUACGUGUGCGGUUCGCGAUGCCGGAGAUUUCGGUCUCACGGUACGCGUCCGCAUGUUUUUUAUUGCCUUGAUCGUCGGCGUGCACUUCUCCCCUAGUAGGACGUCGCGACCCGUUGGGUGUCGGUCUACGGCCCGGGUGUGUAGCCUGUCUCGUGAGCGCUUCACCGCGUUUCGCGAUUCAGACCCUCGGUUGCCUGACCGGCUGCCCGGCGGUACUCGCACGGUAUCUGGCCGCAAAUAUUCGAACUGCGUCCGGCCCGUCGCAAGCGAGGCAAGUGUUUCCCGGCUGUACGGAUCUAACGCCGUCACCGGGCCUUGCCAGCUGUUGGCUGACGGUGUCCUAGGACAGGCUAACAAAAAUUAUGAUACCGGUCGGCGACGCUAUUGCUUUGGGUACUUUCAGGACCCGUCUUGAAACACGGACCAAGGAGUCUAACAUGUGCGCGAGUCAUUGGGAUCUAUUAAGCCUAAAGGCGCAAUGAAAGUGAAGGUCGGCCUUGCGCCGACCGAGGGAGGAUGGGCCGCGUCACGAUGCGGUCCCGCACUCCCGGGGCGUCUCGUUCUCAUUGCGAGAAGAGGCGCACCCAGAGCGUACACGU
rnacentral:rRNA from 1 species